GGCUACCCUGCCGCCUCUACGCUCUAACCACUAGGCUACCCUGCCGCCUCUACGCUCUAACCACUAGGCUACCCUGCCGCCCCAUGUUUUGAUUUUGAGUACUGCGCUGUUGGGAAGGGCUUGCAAGUUAAUGUUAAGCAUUUCACUGUACUUGUGCAUGUGACAAAUAAAACCUGAAAAAUCAACAUUUUGCGAUGGCUUUCUCAGUCUCUGGACCCCAUCGGAAAGCUGUGGUUUGAAUUGAAGAAGGCUGUCAGUCUAUAAGCUCAGACGAAGGAUAUCAAGGAUCUGUAAAGAUUCUGUAUGGAGGAAUGGUCUUAAGAUUCCUCCUAAUUUUGUUCUCCAAUCUCAUAAAAUAUUUUUAGAAGAAGGGCUCGGUGUCGGGAAAGGUGAGGAGGGUGCUGGACUAUUGAAAACAGGGGAUUCAAUAAUGUUGACUCUUAUCUGUUUUAGAUGUAUUUAUUGUAUGACUUGUUAAACAGAGCAUACAAUAUAACUCUGCAUUUGUAUGAUCUAUUUUAACGUUUUUUGUUGUUGUUGCUCAUCUUUAUCAAGGGAUCCAAUCAAUUUGGACCCCACGGUACAUACAGUACAAUGGGAGAGGUGUGUGGGCAUGCACAGGAGGACCAGGAUGUUGAACUCAGACCACUAUUGAGGACUGGGACUCUCAUAUCUAGAGACUUAGGAGAACUUCUGUGAGUGUAAUGUUUACUGUUCAUUUUUUGUUUUAUUUCACUUUUGUAUAUUUAUCUAGCUCACUUGCUUUGGCAACGUUAACAUAUGUUUCCCAUGCCAAUAAAGCCCCUUGAAUUGAAUUGACCUCCUCGCUAAAGGAACUUCUAGCCAGCAAUUUAAGUGCAGUGGAUUUGAGUUUCAUUCCAUCUUUGUUUGAACCUCGCAGGAGUUUAUGUUAUGAUCCGCUAAAAGAAGAGACGGAAAAACAGAACAUCUUACUACUCAACGGUCUCUCUCAGGGAGAAAUCUCCAACUCUGGUCCCCCACCAGCAGCAGAGGGAACUGUGGAGUCAGCUUUACCCCCAUGGAGGAGCUACCCUCACCAUCAACACUUUGGCCAGCACUAACAGUGCCACCCCAAUCCAUCACCUCCUGUGCUGCACCAUCUCACUCCAUCCACUCUGGCUCUACACCCCAACCCAUCACAUCUGGCUGGACACCACAGGGCUCCCAAGUCAAUCUGCUCCAACAAAUCCUGGACAUACAGGAUUUGUGCCUCAGCCACCCUUCCUCUGGGAACACCAUCAGCCUCCAUGUCCAGUCCCUUCACAUUAAUAUCACCUACUGCACCACACUUUGAUUUCUUAUUUUCCCCAUUCCCAUUACCGGUAAUCACAACCCAUUCCACCCAGCCAUCACAAACCAGCCCUGCCCCAACCUCUCCUACCUUAACCAGCUCUGCCCCAACCUCUCCUACGUUAACCAGCUCUGCCCCAACCUCUCCUACCUUAACCAGCUCUGCCCCAACCUCUCCUACCUUAACCAGCCUUGCCCCAACCUCUCCUACCUUAACCAGCCCUGCCCCAACCUCUCCUACCUUAACCAGCCCUGCCCCAACCUCUCCUACCUUAACCAGCCCUGCCCCAACCUCCUACCUUAACCAGCCCUGCCCCCAACCUCUCCUACCUUAACCAGCCCUGCCCCAACCUCUUCUACCUUAACCAGCCCUGCCCCAACCUCUCCUACCUUAACCAGCCCUGCCCCAACCUCCCCUACCUUAAAAAUUCCUGCCUCAACCUCUCCUACCUUAACCAGCUCUGCCCCAACCUCUCCUACCUUAACCGUUCCUGCCCCAACCUCUCCUACCUUAACCAGCUCUGCCCCAACCUCUCCUACCUUAACCAGCUCUGCCCCAACCUCUCCUACCUUAACCGUUUCUGCCCACUCUCUCAUCCCUCCAAUCUCCGGAUCUGUUAAACGGUGAGUUCAGGAGACAGUCCGGCCUUGGCCUACACCCACUGCCAAGAAUAAAAAACAUCAACAAACAUCAAUAAACAAAUGCAAUAAAAUACAACAAGUGUUUAACUUGUUUUCUUACAGCCUCUUCACACUUACUACACUAUACAUAUUGCUCACAUGUAAUUUUGCGUACUUGCCACGGAGAGGAGAGAGUGGAAGGAUGAUGGGUCCUCCGGAAUGUUUCGUUUUCUUCCAGUUCCGCACAACUGUUCUGUUGCUCUUCAACCGAUCGCUGCCCGCACCUGCCUGCCUGUCUAGCAUCACUACUCUGGGCGGUUCUGACUUAGAAUAUGUGGACAACUACAAAU